rnacentral:rRNA from 1 species
GACGAACGCUGGCGGCGUGCUUAAUACAUGCAAGUCGAACGGAAAGGCCCUGCUUUUGUGGGGUGCUCGAGUGGCGAACGGGUGAGUAACACGUGAGUAACCUGCCCCUGACUUUGGGAUAACUUCAGGAAACUGGGGCUAAUACCGGAUAGGAGCUCCUGCUGCAUGGUGGGGGUUGGAAAGUUUCGGCGGUUGGGGAUGGACUCGCGGCUUAUCAGCUUGUUGGUGGGGUAGUGGCUUACCAAGGCUUUGACGGGUAGCCGGCCUGAGAGGGUGCCCGGCCACAUUGGGACUGAGAUACGCCCCAGACGCCAACGGGAGGCAGCACUGGGGAAUUUUGCACAGUGGGCGGAAGCCUGAUGCAGCAACGCCGCGUGCGGGAUGACGGCCUUCGGGUUGUAAACCGCUUUCGCCUUUGACGAAGCGUGAGUGCCGCUAAUGGGUAAAGAAGCCCCGGCUAACUACGUG